rnacentral:rRNA from 1 species
CUGAACCUUCGGGGAACGUUAAGGGCGUCGAGCGGCGGACGGGUGAGUAAUGCCUGGGAAUAUGCCUUGAUGUGGGGGAUAACCAUUGGAAACGAUGGCUAAUACCGCAUAAUCUCUUCGGAGCAAAGAGGGGGACCUUCGGGCCUCUCGCGUCAAGAUUAGCCCAGGUGGGAUUAGCUAGUUGGUGAGGUAAUGGCUCACCAAGGCGACGAUCCCUAGCUGGUCUGAGAGGAUGAUCAGCCACACUGGAACUGAGACACGGUCCAGACUCCUACGGGAGGCAGCAGUGGGGAAUAUUGCACAAUGGGCGCAAGCCUGAUGCAGCCAUGCCGCGUGUGUGAAGAAGGCCUUCGGGUUGUAAAGCACUUUCAGUCGUGAGGAAGGUGGUGUAGUUAAUAGCUGCAUUAUUUGACGUUAGCGACAGAAGAAGCACCGGCUAACUCCGUGCCAGCAGCCGCGGUAAUACGGAGGGUGCGAGCGUUAAUCGGAAUUACUGGGCGUAAAGCGCAUGCAGGUGGUUUGUUAAGUCAGAUGUGAAAGCCCGGGGCUCAACCUCGGAACCGCAUUUGAAACUGGCAGGCUAGAGUACUGUAGAGGGGGGUAGAAUUUCAGGUGUAGCGGUGAAAUGCGUAGAGAUCUGAAGGAAUACCGGUGGCGAAGGCGGCCCCCUGGACAGAUACUGACACUCAGAUGCGAAAGCGUGGGGAGCAAAC